GACUAUACUUCAGAGUUUGAUCCUGGCUCAGGACGAACGCUGGCGGCGUGCCUAAUACAUGCAAGUCGAGCGAAGAGUUAAUGGUGCUUGCACCAAUAACACUUAGCGGCGAACGGGUGAGUAACACGUGAGAAACCUGCCUUUCACAAAGGGAUAGCCUCGGGAAACCGGGAUUAAUACCUUAUGACACUUAGAUAUCGCAUGAUAAUUAAGUUAAAGAAUUUCGGUGAAAGCUGACACUAUGAGAUGGCUUUGCGGUGCAUUAGCUAGUUGGUAGGGUAAAGGCCUACCAAGGCGACGAUGCAUAGCCGACCUGAGAGGGUGAUCGGCCACACUGGGACUGAGACACGGCCCAG
rnacentral:rRNA from 1 species